GAGUCCGAGACGAUUAGGACCACUGUCCCAACCUGUCGGAGUUUACAGUUUACCCGUGAGGAGAGGAAGGGAACGGGAAAGCAAUAGACGACGUCUAGAACACUGACGUGGCUGCCCAGUUGUCCACCAGCUGCCUCUGCCCAGUCCUCAGACUUCGUUCCACUUGUUCUCUGAACCCGGCAAAAUAGAGCUGGUCACCUUUCAGUUCCUCAGAUUCACCACAUUCUCCUGAACGUCUGUGACUGUGAUCUGCUGCUGCCUCCAGGUCACAAAGGUCCUCUUCAUUUCAUCUUCUGAAAAGUGUUUGUUUGCCCGAUCUCAUUACGACUAGUUUGCACCUGGAGCUGAUUUGUACUCAUGCUGGGAGGCAGGGCUCAUGUUUCAGCUCUGCAGCAGCAGUUUGUUGAAAGGACUGUCUUUCUUCACUACUCUGCAGGGGGGCAUUUGGCAUAAAUAAAGUGUCCGUGUUUGCAUGUUUUUGUUUCUGGGUCCCCUGUUAUAUUAUUUGUUCAUCCCCCCCACAGUACUACA